rnacentral:tRNA from 1 species
CCGACGACGACUGGAUUGUUCGGUUGCGCGCCUUCUGCAAAGACGUCUAUGAGGGUGAAAAGCCC